GGGCCCGCACAAGCGGUGGAGCAUGUGGUUUAAUUCGAUGAUACGCGAGGAACCUUACCAGGGUUUAAAUGCAGAACGACAGGGGUGGAAACACCCCCUUCUUCGGACGGACUGCAAGGUGCUGCAUGGUUGUCGUCAGCUCGUGCUGUGAAGUGUCGGGUUAAGUCCCAUAACGAGCGCAACCCCCAUUUCUAGUUGCCAGCGGUUCGGCCGGGGACUCUAACGGGACUGCCGGUGCAAACCGCGAGGAAGGUGGGGAUGACGUCAAAUCAUCACGGCCCUUACGUCCUGGGCUACACACGUGCUACAAUGGCCGGUACAGAGGGCAGCCACACCGCAAGGUGGAG
rnacentral:rRNA from 1 species